rnacentral:rRNA from 1 species
AUGUUGAGGUUGGUCCUGGAAUGGUUGGCUUUGGGACUUUUGGUGGCAGUAUAUUCUUAUGCCAACGACAAGCAUUUGCAGGAUAAUUAUGUGGUUAUCUGUGGCAGUGUGCUCCUAUCCUCCCCGCCUCCAUACUUCAUUUUUGGAAAACUAAUGAUUUUAAUUCCUGGAUAUCAUAGGUACCAUUGGUUGUGCCUCAGCUUCGUAGCCGAUCUUCGAUCGUCCAUGGCAUCAACACACAAAUUUAUAAUGCAAACCUCAGAUCUUGCUUCUCUGCUUUUUAAUGUUUCAUAUGUUUUCAUGUACAAACCGAGGCAUGCGGAUGCGGGCGUGAUGGCGGGCAUCUCCAGCAGCGGCGGCGACCUGCAGGCAGGAGGCAACGACUGGGGUGUUUGA